GACUAACGCUGGCGGCGUGCCUAACACAUGCAAGUCGUGCGGGAGAGAGGGGCAACCCUUGAUCUAGCGGCAGACGGGUGAGUAACGCGUAAACAACCUGCCCUAUUGCUGGGGAUAAACUACCGAAAGGGAGUGUAAUACCGAAUAAGUCUUCGUGUCGUCGGACUUGGAGAUGAAAGGAGCAAUCUGCGAUAGGAGGGGUUUGCGUCCCAUUAGCUAGUUGGUGGGGUAACGGCCUACCAAGGCGACGAUGGGUAGCUGGUCUGAGAGGAUGGUCAGCCACACUGGAACUGGGACACGGUCCAGACUCCUACGGGAGGCAGCAGUGAGGAAUAUUGCGCAAUGGCCGAAAGGCUGACGCAGCGACGCCGCGUGGGGGAUGACGGCCUCGGUUGUAACCUUGUCAGUGGGAAGAAAAAUAGAACUGUACCACAGAGGAAGCCCCGGCGUAACUACGUAGCCAGCAGCCGCGGUAAACGUAAGUCUACG
rnacentral:rRNA from 1 species